UUUAUUUUAGUAUUAUUUUCGUAGUAGUAGUAGUUUUUUAUAGCAAAAACAAAAUUAAAUAAUAAUAAUUAAAUGUUGAUGGAUGAUUUGCCUUGAUUGAGGUCAACAUAAAAACCUCUAAAUUAUGGCAUAUUUUCUUUUCUGCCACAGGCUGUAAAUUAAAAAGUUGUUUGGAAAACACCAAAUGUCAUAAAUCAUAAAACACCAAAGAAGAGUGAAGCCAAUGGAAAAUACAACAUUUUCAUAAACAGCUUAAUUGUUUAAUAGGUGCUGUCAAUGACAUUUUGAUUAAAUUGAACAUACCACUUUAAGGAAAACAAACAACACCAUAAUGCUUUUAUGCUAGAUUCUGGCCUGUAUCCAUGGCAACAUCCUGAUAAUUCAGCUUUUGGAAGCUUUUUGAGAGAAGAAAAUUACAAUUUUCAUCUUUGAUUAUGAAGAGCAUUCAGAAAAGUCCUCAGACAUGUCUAGAACCAGACGCAGACUACUAUUAAAAACUUUUGCUGUCAGUUUUUCAAAAUUUAAUUCAGCAAGGAUUCAUUAAAUUGAUUAAAAGUAACAGUAAAACAUUUUUUUUUUUACAAAAACUUACAUUUACAAUAUACAUAUUGUAAACAACCAUCACAAAACAGAAAGACAGUCAAGGAUCAUCAGGUGACCACACACAGUACUAAGAACCAAGGGUUCCCAAACUUUUGAGUGGGGUUAUUUUAAUAAUUGCAGCAUUUUUUUAGUCUUGUGGACUAAAUGUUAAUAUAUUUUAUGUACAAUAUCUUACUCAGGACAGUACUAAAUGAAAUAUAACAUGCAUUUAGUAUGAUCUCUCUUAUUUUUUGAAAAUUACUCGUAUUUUCACAGAUUCUGCAAGGGGUGCCCAAACUUUCGAGCCCCACUGUGUAUAUAUAUAUAUAUAUAUAUAUAUAUAUAUAUAUAUAUAUAUAUAUGUUCUUUUGAACUUUCUAUUCCUUACAUAAUCCCUGAAAAAAGUAUCAUAGUUGCACGAAAAAAUUAAACAGCACAAUUUUUUUACAUUAUUAAUAAUAAUAAUUAAUAGUAAAUAUUUCGCAGUAAUUACUGUUUUUUAGCAAAUAAACACAGCCUUGAUAAACAUAAGAGAUAUGUUUUUUUUAGGCAAAAAUUACAGACUCAAAACUUUUGAACGGUGGUCUAUCUAGUACUUCUGGAACCCCGUCUGGUCAGGAAAUCUUAUUACUUUUUACUUAUGUGAGAUUAUAUAAGAUAGUUUAGCUACUGUACAACUGCAAAGCCUUAUAGAAUACUAUAUACAUUCAUUACUGCUUUUUAACUAAACAUACACAAUAAUUAAGCAUUUACUUAAAAAUUCUUUAUUUUGAUGUAAGGAACAGACAUGGACAGAGUUAGUGACAUUUUGAGUGCUAAAUUAAGAGCCAAAAUAAAGAUCUUAAAGUCCAGAUUGUGGCCAGCAGAGGGCGCUACACGGUUUUAAAUAGACUUGGAUGGCAGCAUCCAAUUAUAAAACAGAAAAACAGAGCAACAGCGUUGACCACGUGAAUUCAGGAAUAUAAACUUCAGUAUAUUCUAUUAUUGUUACAGGAAAUCUACAAUAAACUCUUCAUUUGCGCUAAAGCAUCUGUAAGAACUCUGUCACGGCCAGUAUAUAUCAGAUAGCUACAGAAUGUGUAACCUUUUUAACAGAUCUUAUUGAUGGCAGAUAAGCACCCUGUGUUGACCACAAAAUGUCUUUUUCACUUUUGAAUGUACAGUUUUAUAUUUAGACCCAUCCUGAUUGCUUUGUCCAGCGAAUCCACUGCUUACUAAUAUCCCAGAAUCUAACAGGGGUUCAGAUAUGUGAUUGGCUGGUACACAGUGUUCAGACACGGCUUGUAAAAAACAUAAUUGCAUGUAAUUUAGUGUCUAAUCCAGGACCGUCUUACAAAAGGCAUAAUGCAGACUGGUUGUUCCAAACUUUUGUCUCAGCAGGGGCUCGGCACCGGCAGUGCUGCAAACACGUCGUUGAGAUCCAGCUGUUGGCCACAUGUGUGUGAUGGGGUCGUUGAGUCCAUACCAAGCUCUACAUCAUAUCCUUCUCAUAUCUUUCAGAGUUCCUAUGGACCACCAAGUUGGGAUGAACAGGCGACUGAAGAACCUUGGCUUUGUCCAGAAGGUUCUAGGCUCUUCUGGUUGUGGAUGCAGUGUGAAAAUGCUGAGGAAAGCCCUUCUGUGGAUGAGAAGGUAGGGCUGCUGGCCCUCAUCCUGUUAUCCCAGCCUCCAGAUCCAGUCAGUCUUCACACCUCUUCAGUCACACAUACACAGCACAGACAUCAUGGAGGGCAGCAUGAUGAUGGGUGUUGAAGGGAUCAAGAAAACCAUCUUGCAUGGAGGGACCGGUUAGAAGUCUAAAUUUGUCUAAGGGGCAAUGAAAGCCUUCUAUCUGCAUUGAACAGCCCACAUGGAGGUAUGGAAUGAAGCUGAGGCCAGAGAUGAUUUCAUGAGAGUCCUGGAUCUGGACCCAGGCAUGAAAAAGACAACCAAUAAAGAGCUUGUAGUUCUCAAAAUGGGAAUGGAGUUAAAAAAAAUUGAGGACAGACUGAAAUACAAGGACAUGUUCACAAAAAUGGCAAGAGAGCAAGAGUCUCUAGAGCUGGAGAGUCCAGAUCAAGAGAUUCCAGAGCAAACAUCUCCAAGGAACAACUCAAGGAGAACAGAGUCCAGAGGAAGCAUGGCUAUAGAGCAAACAGGUGAAGAACAACCAAGUUCAACGCAAACAUCUCCAGAGCUAAUAACUUCAGCACAAGAAGUUACACAAGACAUUGUUUCACAAGAAGAAACAGUUACUGCACUAUCGAGUUCUGAUCAUGAGAAACCAGAACAAUCAACUACUUACUCAGAAUGUGACUCCAGAACAAACUACCACAGAAGAAGCUACCCCAGAACAGUUAGACGCAGUAGAAAUGUUUCUGGAGCAAUUUGUUUCUGAAGAACCAUCACCAGAACAUACAACUCCAGAGCUAACGUGUCCAGAACAAGCAGACCAAGAUCUUGUAUCUUCAGAACACAUGACUCCAGCUCAAAUAACACCAGUCAAUGACUCUUAAUCAUACAGUAGCAACAUUUUCAAGAGAGGUGCAAAGAUGAUGUGGGAGAAAGAUCAAGUUUUUACUUCUGUGAUGUUUUGUCAGCUGCUUUUCUUCAUGUGUUCUACAUUAUAAUCUAAGAUUUAACUUUACCAUUGUGAUUGAAGUUUUGCCAAAUCAUCAAAUAAAAUAGUCCUCAAUCA